UACGUAGGGGGCAAGCGUUGUCCGGAAUCAUUGGGCGUAAAGAGCGCGUAGGCGGUCCGGUAAGUCCGCUCUGAAAGUCCGGGGCUCAACCCCGGGAGGCGGGCGGAUACUGCCGGGCUAGAGUCCGGAAGAGGCGAGUGGAAUUCCUGGUGUAGAGGUGAAAUUCGUAGAUAUUAGGAAGAACACCAGUGGCGAAGGCGGCUCACUGGCCCGGUACUGACGCUGAGGCGCGAAAGCGUGGGGAGCAAACAGG
rnacentral:rRNA from 1 species